UUGUCUUUCUAUUACCUGUGGGUCAGAUGCCUGAUAAGGAGGACAAACGGUGGGAAACAAAAGAGUGACUCACUUAAUAUAUUUGUAAAAUGUUGGUCUUCAUUAACAUAAGUGAAUUCUGCAGCAACAGAACAGCCUGCAGGGAACAUCACUCUGGAAAGACACUCUGGUGUGCCAGUAUGGUUGCAAAUGGGGAAAUAACUGCCCAGUCAAAGGAGACUGAUGCAGCUCACUGAGAAACUAAAACUACACCAAGGAAACCACCCUUCAGGGGAGGGAGCACCCUGACAGGCAGGAGGACCCUCUCGGAGCGGGCUGCCUCACCUGUCUGAGGACUCAUCUCAUCCAGCAGCUUCACC